rnacentral:lncRNA from 1 species
GAGUGAGAAGGGGAUCCCAGAUUUCUAAUCAGAGGCGAAGCAGGCCUGGCUGACAGCAGGGGGCGACAUUCAGCGAGCGGCCACACAGGCGCUGAGAGACAGGCAGAAGAAGGUGCAGGAGGUGCUGACCCAGUCCGGGGGCCAGCUCAGGGGGGCUCUGGCCCUGCUGCAGAGGUCCAUCCUGGAGCCUUUUCAUGAGAGAAUCUGGAGCGACGAGCCAGAGCCUGCGGUGGACGUGCACCACCCGGACAAAGAUGUAAGGAACAAGUUUUCAGUUUCAUCAUCAGCGAUUUAUAAAGAAAUGUCUCGACUCUGUUCACUUGGUUUGAAUUUAAAAGGAUAUUUCAG